CUAGGUAAAGUCUUGAUAGUAAGAUGCGGGUCUUGGACACCUGAGAGUGUAGGUACAACUCCUACUACCUAGA
rnacentral:tRNA from 1 species